rnacentral:tRNA from 1 species
AGCAGAGUGGCUUAGUGGAAAGAACCUGGCCCCACGAGUCAGAGGACGUGGGAUCUAAUCCCGGCUCUGCCA